rnacentral:rRNA from 1 species
UACGUAGGUGACAAGCGUUGUCCGGAUUUACUGGGCGUAAAGAGCGCGCAGGCGGUCGAACAAGUCGAGUGUGAAAGCCCCCGGCUCAACUGGGGAGGGUCAUUCGAUACUGAUCGACUCGAAGGCAGGAGAGGGUAGCGGAAUUCCCGGUGUAGUGGUGAAAUGUGUAGAUAUCGGGAGGAACACCGGUGGCGAAGGCGGCCACCUGGACGGUUACUGACGCUGAGACGCGAAAGCGUGGGGAGCAAACAGG